rnacentral:rRNA from 1 species
GACGAACGCUGGCGGCGUGCCUAAUACAUGCAAGUAGAACGCUGAAGGAGGAGCUUGCUUCUCUGGAUGAGUUGCGAACGGGUGAGUAACGCGUAGGUAACCUGCCUGGUAGCGGGGGAUAACUAUUGGAAACGAUAGCUAAUACCGCAUAAGAGUAGAUGUUGCAUGACAUUUGCUUAAAAGGUGCAAUUGCAUCACUACCAGAUGGACCUGCGUUGUAUUAGCUAGUUGGUGGGGUAACGGCUCACCAAGGCGACGAUACGUAGCCGACCUGAGAGGGUGAUCGGCCACACUGGGACUGAGACACGGCCCAGACUCCUACGGGAGGCAGCAGUAGGGAAUCUUCGGCAAUGGACGGAAGUCUGACCGAGCAACGCCGCGUGAGUGAAGAAGGUUUUCGGAUCGUAAAGCUCUGUUGUAAGAGAAGAACGAGUGUGAGAGUGGAAAGUUCACACUGUGACGGUAUCUUACCAGAAAGGGACGGCUAACUACGUG